rnacentral:rRNA from 1 species
CCUACGGGUGACAGCAGUAGGGAAUCUUCCACAAUGGGCGAAAGCCUGAUGGAGCAACGCCGCGUGGGUGAAGAAGGUCUUCGGAUCGUAAAACCCUGUUGUUAGAGAAGAAAGUGCGUGAGAGUAACUGUUCACGUUUCGACGGUAUCUAACCAGAAAGUCACGGCUAAAUACGUGCCAGCAGCCGCGGUAAUACGUAGGUGGCAAGCGUUAUCCGGAUUUAUUGGGCGUAAAGGGCACGCAGGCGGUCUUUUAAGUCUGAUGUGAAAGCCUUCGGCUUAACCGGAGGAGUGCAUUGGAAACUGGGAGACGUGAGUGCAGAAGAGGAGAGUGGAACUCCAUGUGUAGCGGUGAACUGCGUAUAUAUAUGGAAGAACACCAGUGGCGAAAGCGGCUCACUGGGCUGUAACUGACGCUGAGGUUCGAAAGCGUGGGUAGCAAACAGGAUUAGAUACCCGGGUAGUC